CCCUUAGAUGUUCUGGGCCGCACGCGCGCUACACUGGUGCGUUCAACAAGUUUACAACCUUGAUUGACAAGUCUGGGUAAUCUUUUGAAUGCGCACCGUGCUAGGGAUAGAUUAUUGCAAUUAUUAAUCUUGAACGAGGAAUUCCUAGUAAACGCAAGUCAUCAGCUUGCAUUGAUUACGUCCCUGCCCUUUGUACACACCGCCCGUCGCACCUACCGAUUGAAUGGUCCGGUGAAAUCUCGGGACGGCGGCUUGGUCGCUUGCGUCCGACUGCUGAAACUUGAUUAAACCAUAUCAUUUAGAGGAAGGUGAAGUCGUAACA
rnacentral:rRNA from 1 species